GGUAAUGACUUAAAUCUAUAUGGCCCCUGGAUUGGACUGCGGCCGAUCAGGCUGUUGGUGAGGUAAUGGCCCACCAAACCUGUAACCGGUAUGGGCUCUGAGAGGAGGAGCCCGGAGAUGGGCACUGAGACAAGGGCCCAGGCCCUAUGGGGCGCAGCAGGCGCGAAACCUCUGCAAUAGGCGAAAGCUUGACAGGGUUACUCUGAGUGAUUUCCGUUAAGGAGAUCUUUUGGCACCUCUAAAAAUGGUGCAGAAUAAGGGGUGGGCAAGUCUGGUGUCAGCCGCCGCGGUAAUACCAGCACCCCGAGUGGUCGGGACGUUUAUUGGGCCUAAAGCAUCCGUAGCCGGUUCUACAAGUCUUCCGUUAAAUCCACCUGCUUAACAGAUGGGCUGCGGAAGAUACUAUAGAGCUAGGAGGCGGGAGAGGCAAGCGGUACUCGAUGGGUAGGGGUAAAAUCUGUUGAUCCAUUGAAGACCACCAGUGGCGAAGGCGGCUUGCCAGAACGCGCUCGACGGUGAGGGAUGAAAGCUGGGGGAGCAAACCGGAUUAGAUACCCGGGUAGUCCCAGCUGUAAACGAUGCAGACUCGGUGAUGAGUUGGCUUAUUGCUAACUCAGUGCCGCAGGGAAGCCGUUAAGUUUGCCGCCUGGGGAGUACGGUCGCAAGACUGAAACUUAAAGGAAUUGGCGGGGGAGCAC
rnacentral:rRNA from 2 species